AUACGUAGGUGGCAAGCGUUGUCCGGAAUUAUUGGGCGUAAGGCGCGCGCAGGCGGUCCUUUAAGUCUGAUGUGAAAGCCCACGGCUCAACCGUGGAGGGUCAUUGGAAACUGGGGGACUUGAGUGCAGAAGAGGAAAGUGGAAUUCCAAGUGUAGCGGUGAAAUGCGUAGAGAUUUGGAGGAACACCAGUGGCGAAGGCGACUUUCUGGUCUGUAACUGACGCUGAGGCGCGAAAGCGUGGGGAGCAAACAGGAUUAGAUACCCUGGUAGUCCACGCCGUAAACGAUGAGUGCUAAGUGUUAGGGGGUUUCCGCCCCUUAGUGCUGCAGCUAACGCAUUAAGCACUCCGCCUGGGGAGUACGGUCGCAAGACUGAAACUCAAAUGAAUUGACGGGG
rnacentral:rRNA from 1 species